rnacentral:rRNA from 1 species
AUGCACGCUGGCGGCGUGCCUCAUCCCUGCAAGUCGCGCGAACAGACGAGGAGCUUGCUCCUUCGACGUUAGCGGCGGACGGGUGAGUAACACGUAGGUAACCUACCUAUAAGACUGGGAUAACUUCGGGAAACCGGAGCUAAUACCGGAUAAUAUUUCGAACCGCAUGGUUCGAUAGUGAAAGAUGGCUUUGCUAUCACUUAUAGAUGGACCUGCGCCGUAUUAGCUAGUUGGUAAGGUAACGGCUUACCAAGGCAACGAUACGUAGCCGACCUGAGAGGGUGAUCGGCCACACUGGAACUGAGACACGGUCCAGACUCCUACGGGAGGCAGCAGUAGGGAAUCUUCCGCAAUGGGCGAAAGCCUGACGGAGCAACGCCGCGUGAGUGAUGAAGGUCUUCGGAUCGUAAAACUCUGUUAUUAGGGAAGAACAAACGUGUAAGUAACUGUGCACGUCUUGACGGUACCUAAUCAGAAAGCCACGGCUAACUACGUG